GCGAGCAUAUUUGACUUUGCCCACAGUCAAUUAUCUUUCCAAGCCUCCGCUGGGGAAUCCCAUUCAGAUCUCAGCAUUCUAGCUGCCGGCCCAGAAAGUCACGGGACAUCAUAAGCUGUUUCUCAAAACCCAAGAGGAUCAGGAGUAUGGCCUGGGAAUGUCUGGGGUUUCUUCAUCACUGACAUGAACGCCGAGAUUCUCUGCACCAUCAGGCUGGGCCCGAACGUGCAUUGCUGAGGUCCGUGUCCGGCCAGCUUGGCUCCACAAGGUUGGCUGCGACUCUGUAAUCCCUCCCCAAGAAGAGCAACAGCUGAUCCUCAUCACGACCCUGUGUUUGGUGUGUGGAUUCUUGCAUUAGUGACAUGACAUUUAUUUGCUUGGUGAGCCUUUUACCUGCAAGGUUAACAAGUUUGACUCACAUCUUGGAAACAUUCCAACUUGAAACACUGGGAGUGGUGCUUCUCUGACUCCCUGCGCACCCAGAGAGGAGGUCCCAGUUCUGUGGAGAUCUGGACUCAGGAGGUCUGGGCUGGGGUCCUUUCUCACAAACGAGCUGGUCACACUGAUGCUGCUCAGCUGUGGGUCACGUUUGCAGGAGCAAAGAAUUGUCCACAGGAACUCGAAGAUGAGGAUAUGCUUGCUCAUUCAUUUAUGUUCCGAUUCAACAAUAAUGAAGAAGUGCCUAAAACAUCCUCAGCACUGCAGUGAUGACUGUGAGAAGGCUGACACCCUUAAGUGUGCAGGGAGGCCAAGAGGACACAGUUGCAAGCAAACAAUUGUUUGAAGAUAAUACAUAAAAACGUGUGUGCUUUGAGUGUAUCUUUUCUUAAAUCAAAUGAGAGCCUCCUAGGCUUAAAUUUGGUGUCAAGUCUGAAAAUGCAGUUUCUAAUAAAAAAUGUAUGUCUA
rnacentral:lncRNA from 1 species